GUAAAGUUUCUCAAAAGGUGAUUUGUUGGGCAAAACUUUAGUUGGAAAUCAAUUAUGUAUAUUGUUGUAAGAAUGCAUUCUCCCCAAAAUUGAAGAGGAAAAUUGGCUUGAAAUCUUAAAGCUCAAGCAGUAUCAAGGAUAUGGUGAUGUUUACAUCCUCAAAACCAUUUUAUUGUGGUGUGUAGACACAUGAAUGAUGGUAAAUGAUCCCAUUUGUUUGGAAAAUAUCUUACAUGGAUGCUAACUUCCCCCCAUUGUCCACUUGUAUUUGUUGUCCUUUCAUGUGAAAUUAUGUUUGAAUGCAAGAAAAAAGGGAUUUAAGAUUAUUUUAUGCUUCAUUCUUAUGGCGUAUAAGAAAAACCCAAUUGUAUAGAGAAAAUCAUCCACCACAGUUAAGAAAUAAUGUGCCCCAGUGAGAGAUGGUGUUUUAUAAGGUCCCCAUUUAUCAAUAUGUAGAAGAGAAAAAGGUUUAUCGGUAGAAAUGUCACUUGUUCCAAAAGGUAAAUGGUUGGCUAAUGGGCAAACCUCACAAACAUUAUUCAAAUGAUAAGGGAAAUUUAACAAAGUUUUAGACAAAACUUGUGAUCUGGAUGAAGGCAAAUGACCAAGACAUUGGUGAGUUGGAUUUAUAUGUGUAGAUGGCUUCUCCAAUGACAUAAGAUAAGAAAAACCAAUUUUCUCUCUACCCAAACCAAUCAUUAUCUUCAUAUCCAGAUCUUGCAAAAUGCACUAAUGAGGGUAAAAGGUUAUGGAACAAUUUAAACCCUAUGUAACUUUUCUUACAAAUAAAAGAUCAACUUUGAAAGUUGGCACACAUAAAAUUUUUUAUGAAAUGUAGAUUGGAGUUUAAUAACAAAUUUCCAAUAGAGGUAAUGGAAGCCUUAGCACCACUGGGCAAUAAAAAUGGGGAAAAUGAUGGAUUAGUAACAUCAGUCAUUAAUUGUGCCAAGCAAGUAAUAUGAUUUGUUGCUCUACUGUCAAUGACCCAUUAUUGUUUAAACAAACCUUUAUUAAGAGUUACAGUGUUAGCCUAUGGAAUCUUUGGCCUAACCUUAUUUUCAUUUGCAGUAUAGUAAAUUUGUUAACAUUGGUCCACUGAAAGAUUAGGAGUGGCACUUUGUAAUUCUUGCAUGGAAACUACAGAUUUUACAUCAUUAGGAGAGGAAGUGGUUCCUUUUUUGUUGCCCUUAUUAGUCUUCUAGAGUCGAUGCUACUCUAAAUAUCCAUAUAGUUGUAACAUGUCUCUUAGGUGUGG
rnacentral:misc_RNA from 1 species